rnacentral:rRNA from 1 species
UACGGAGGUGGCAAGCGUUGUUCGGAAUUACUGGGCGUAAAGAGCGUGUAGGCGGCCUGGUCAGUCGGUUGUGAAAGCCCUGGGCUCAACCCGGGGAGGCCGACCGAUACUGCCGGGCUGGAGUGCGGGAGAGGAGAGUGGAACUACCGGUGUAGCGGUGAAAUGCGUAGAGAUCGGUAGGAACACCCGUGGCGAAGGCGGCUCUCUGGACCGCAACUGACGCUGAGACGCGAAAGCUAGGGGAGCGAACGGG